rnacentral:rRNA from 1 species
GAUGAACGCUGGCGGCGUGCCUAAUACAUGCAAGUCGAGCGAACAGACGAGGAGCUUGCUCCUCUGACGUUAGCGGCGGACGGGUGAGUAACACGUGGAUAACCUACCUAUAAGACUGGGAUAGCUUCGGGAAACCGGAGCUAAUACCGGAUAAUAUAUUGAACCGCAUGGUUCAAUAGUGAAAGACGGUUUUGCUGUCACUUAUAGAUGGAUCCGCGCCGCAUUAGCUAGUUGGUAAGGUAACGGCUUACCAAGGCAACGAUGCGUAGCCGACCUGAGAGGGUGAUCGGCCACACUGGAACUGAGACACGGUCCAGACUCCUACGGGAGGCAGCAGUAGGGAAUCUUCCGCAAUGGGCGAAAGCUUGACGGAGCAACGCCGCGUGAGUGAUGAAGGUCUUCGGAUCGUAAAACUCUGUUAUUAGGGAAGAACAAAUGUGUAAGUAACUAUGCACGUCUUGACGGUACCUAAUCAGAAAGCCACGGCUAACUACGUG